CCUACGGGGGGCAGCAGUAGGGAAUAUUGCUCAAUGGGGGAAACCCUGAAGCAGCAACGCCGCGUGGAGGAUGAAGGUUUUCGGAUUGUAAACUCCUUUUGGUAGAGAAGAAAAUUACGGUACCUAACGAAUAUUCACCGGCUAACUCCGUGCCAGCCGCCGCGGGAACACGGAGGGUGCAAGCGUUACUCGGAAGCACUGGGCGUAAAGGGCGCGUAGGCGGGAUAGCAAGUCAGAUGUGAAAUCCUAUGGCUUAACCAUAGAACUGCAUUUGAAACUGUUAUUCUAGAGUAUGGGAGUGGUAGGUGGAAUUCUUGGUGUAGGGGUGAAAUCCGUAGAGAUCAAGAGGAAUACUCAUUGCGAAGGCGACCUGCUAGAACAUAACUGACGCUGAUGCGCGAAAGCGUGGGGAGCAAACAGGAUUAGAUACCCGAGUAGUC
rnacentral:rRNA from 1 species